rnacentral:rRNA from 1 species
AGCGUAGAUGGAUGUUUAAGUCAGUUGUGAAAGUUUGCGGCUCAACCGUAAAAUUGCAGUUGAUACUGGAUGUCUUGAGUGCAGUUGAGGCAGGCGGAAUUCGUGGUGUAGCGGUGAAAUGCUUAGAUAUCACGAAGAACUCCGAUUGCGAAGGCAGCCUGCUAAGCUGCAACUGACAUUGAGGCUCGAAAGUGUGGGUAUCAAACA